GGUCGCUUGAAAUGCAGGUGCAGCUGGACAUUCUUCUGAGCUAAAAGCAUAUCUAUUUAGUCCCGUCAAACGGAUUAUUACUUUUGCUUCAGCUAAUAUAAAGGUCGAAUGAACUACCAACGCUGAUUGCAGGAAAACUCGUUCUUAAUCGAACUUGUAAACUCGAUCUCAAAUCAAGUAAGACUACCCGCUGAACUUAA
rnacentral:misc_RNA from 1 species